CCAAGCAACAGCAGCACGCUGAAAAAGUAAAGGCAUUUCCUUCUUCUGUUGCUGCAGCAAAACUGAAAGCAAUGCAAACAUGGUGUGAAGCAGAAAGUGAGAGUCCUGAAGGAUGAUUUUGGAAAAGAUGAUGAAAAGACCAGUAAUUUGGCUGACACAUUGGAGAGUUAUUGAUGGAGGCCAGCCAAUGCAGCAAAGAAUGCUUACUGAUUUAGUUCAAGUUCCUGACAGAGUUAAGAGAACCAGGCCUGGAGAGUUUUAUGCUGAAAACCUGCACCCAGGAGGGAGUCCCUGCUCAUGUGAAAAACACAAGGAGACCCCUCUACAAGUCCACUGCAUGCUGAAGAGGCCAUGAAGAUCUCCAAG